rnacentral:rRNA from 1 species
GGCUCAGAACGAACGCUGGCGGCGUGGAUUAGGCAUGCAAGUCGAGCGAGAAAGCUUCUUCGGGAAGUGAGUACAGCGGCGAACUGGUGAGUAACAGGUGGGUAACGUGCCCUGGAGUGGGGAACAACCCGAGGAAACUCGGGCUAAUACCGCAUAUUGCCAUGAAGACUACGGUUUUUAUGGUGAAAGAUUUCGGUCGCUCCAGGAUCGGCCCGUCUCCGAUUAGCUUGUUGGUGGGGUAACGGCCUACCAAGGCUACGAUCGGUAGCUGGCCUGAGAGGGUGGUCAGCCACACUGGGACUGAGAUACGGCCCAGACUCCUACGGGAGGCAGCAGUCUAGAGGCUUCGGCAAUGGGGGAAACCCUGACCGAGCGACGCCGCGUGCGGGAUUGAAGGCUUUCGGGUCGUAAACCGCUGUCAGGAGGGAAGAAUGCCCCGAUGGUGAAUCGGGGAGAGACGGUACCUCCAGAGGAAGCCCCGGCUAACUCCGUGCCAGCAGCCGCGGUAAUACGGAGGGGGCAAGCGUUGUUCGGAUUUACUGGGCGUAAAGGGUGCGUAAGCGGCUGCGCAAGUCUAGUGUGAAAGCCCCCCCGCUUAACGGGGGGAGGUCACUGGAAACUGCGUAGCUUGAGUGUGGUAGAGGCGAGUGGAAUUCCUGGUGUACCGGUGGAAUGUGUAGAUAUCAGGAAGAACACCGGUGGCGAAGGCGACUCGCUGGGCCAUUACUGACGCUGAGGCACGAAAGCGUGGGGAGCGAACGGGAUUAGAUACCCCGGUAGUCCACGCUGUAAACGGUGCACACUAGGUGUGGGAGGUAUCGACCCCUCCCGUGCCGCCGGUAACCCAUUAAGUGUGCCGCCUGGGGAGUACGGCCGCAAGGUUGAAACUCAAAGGAAUUGACGGGGGCCCGCACAAGCGGUGGAGGAUGUUGUUUAAUUCGAAGCAACGCGAAGAACCUUACCUGGGCUUGAACCGCAGGGUAAACCCUUGGAAACAAGGGCUGGGGUAACCCGACCCUGUAGAGGUGCUGCAUGGCUGUCGUCGGCUCGUGUCGUGAGAUGUUGGGUUAAGUCCCGCAACGAGCGCAACCCUUGUCGUUAGUUGCCAGCAUUAAGUUGGGGACUCUAGCGAGACUGCCGGUGAUAAACCGGAGGAAGGUGGGGACGACGUCAAGUCAUCAUGGCCCUUACGUCCAGGGCUACAAACGUCCUACAAUGGCCGAGACAGCGGGUUGCGAGACCGUGAGGUGGAGCUAAUCCCUUAAACUCGGUCCCAGUUCGGAUUGCAGUCUGCAACUCGACUGCAUGAAGGCGGAAUCGCUAGUAAUCGCGGAUCAGCAUGCCGCGGUGAUACGUUCCCGGGCCUUGUACACACCGCCCGUCACACCACGAAAGUCGGUUGCUCCAGAAGUCGCUGUUGGAACCUUCGGGACCUAGGCGCCAAAGG